AGCCGAACGUUUCGUUCGUUCAGUCUCAGACUUCGCGUCCGUCGUGACGGACUUCGUUUCUCGCGUUACGACACUUUGGUUCACGCUCGACCGAUCCUGAUGGAGCACCGUGGAUCCAGCAGGUGCGGUGCAGCGUCGUCGGAAUAAAAACAACGGAACACAAAGGGAACGGGACGAGAGAAACGAGGAAAAAAACAAUUUGUCGAACGAAAAUAAACGAAGGAUGGGCGGGAGACAUGCGCUCGCGACGCGAACAGCAACGACUCGAUCGCGAAGGUAGACGCUUCGAUAUUAAAUUUACAAUGUGAUAUUCCGCGUGCGCGUAUUUAUAUAUAUAUAUAUAUAUAUUUAUCGAACACACACAAGUACGUACUUCUCGAAUACUCGUUUAAAAAAGAAAUGAAAUAAUACGGUGAUACUCGCGCGCGAACGAACUCUUCGCGCGAUCGAGAGACUUGUCGAGAGAGUGAAACGACCAACGAGGAUUCGUGCAACUUCGUGUGUUGGUUCCGGAACGCCUUCCACGCGCGAAAACUGGUCUCUUCGAAAAAGUCGCGGCGUUCGAAAAACGCGCGCGCGAGCGCGCGCGUCGUUUUGAUCGACCGAAAGAGAAGAAGAGCGGCGAAUAUCCCCGCGCGCGUCAAAAAGCGUGAGAUUUUACUCGCGUGGACAAAAAAGUAAAAUUUAUAAAACCGGCUAGUGCGAAAUCGAGAGAAAGAAGCAAGAGAAGGAGAGAGAAACGAAAAGUGGAGGAUAGCAACACCCCUUUUUGGGAUGUCGACGUGCAAGAGCUGGAUUUUGUGGCCGGCGAGGACGCGUUUUCGACACUCGGCAAAAUCGCCGACGAUACACCGAAGCUGAGAUAUGAUCGAUCAGAUCGCCGAUUGAUCCUUUCGACGACUUCCCUUUCGGCGUGUGAUUUAUGCCACUUUCCUUCGCACUUGUCACACGAGAGUCGGCGAAUUCGCGAGAGAAAGAAAGGAAUUCUCUCCGUUACCGUUCAGUAUCUCGCGCGCGCGCGCGCGCACGAGCAUAAUCUGGAAUUAUUCUCGGAGGAUUCGGAAAAGGAGCAGCAGCCAUGGACUGGAGAGGGGUCGCACUGGCAUUCCUGAUGAUCACAAUAACGAGGCAAGGCGAUAGCGGCACACACGCGGCCCAGAUAUAUCAACAACCGCCGACGUG